GGCUAUUACGGGAGGCAGCAGUGGGGAAUAUUGGGCAAUGGAGGAAACUCUGACCCAGCAAUGCCGCGUGAAUGAAGAAGGUCUUCGGAUUGUAAAGUUCUUUAGUCAGGGAAGAAAAAAAUGACGGUACCUGAAGAAUAAGCUCCGGCUAACUACGUGCCAGCAGCCGCGGUAAUACGUAGGGAGCAAGCGUUGUUCGGAAUGACUGGGCGUAAAGGGUGCGUAGGCGGUUAUACAAGUUAGAAGUGAAAUACCCAGGGCUUAACUCGGGUGCUGCUUCUAAAACUGUAAGACUUG
rnacentral:rRNA from 1 species